rnacentral:misc_RNA from 1 species
GUAGAGGAGAAAGAGUAUAUUAAUUAAUGACUUACUAGAUGAUUUGCUUAAUGGAUGGGAAUAAGAAGACGAAAAAUGCUGGGCCUGGUUGGAGUGACAUUUGCCGAAUCAACUCAUGCCAUCUGAAAUCAAGCUCUAAAGGUGCAUCAACUGCCAAAACAUUCAAUGCAACUGAGGAAGCUAGGCUCACUUUAAAGUUGGGCAAGAGAUUAGGACUCAUCUACUCAGAGUCUGAUGAAGUCAUGAUACAAUUUUUUUUCAAAGCAAAUUGAGUCCGAUAAGAAGAUCAUGGACUCUACUGAGGAUGUCUAGGAUAGGGGAAUUUCUGCUCCUCUGUUGAUAAUCUUGCUAUGCUUUUAGUCCCUAUUUUCUGUUGUGAUCGAAAUCAGGUUUUAUGUAGAGAUGUUGGUUUGGCUGCUUUGAGUUUUGCCAGUGGGGUCUCCAUAGAAAAGCAUGGUUGUUUAGUUUUGGUUGCACUGUAGAUGUUCGAUGAUAUGCCUUUCUG